rnacentral:rRNA from 1 species
CGCCAGCCCGCUCAGAAACUUAAAUGAAUUGACGGGGGCCCGCACAAGCGGUGGAGCAUGUGGUUUAAUUCGAUGAUACGCGAGGAACCUUACCUGGGCUCAAAUGUAUGUUGACGUAUUCUGAAAGGGAUACUUCUUCGGACAAUAUACAAGGUGCUGCAUGGUUGUCGUCAGCUCGUGCCGUGAGGUGUCGGGUUAAGUCCCAUAACGAGCGCAACCCCUAUCAUUAGUUGCCAUCAGGUCAAGCUGGGGACUCUAAUGAAACUGCCUACGCAAGUAGUGAGGAAGGUGGGGAUGACGUCAAAUCAGCACGGCCCUUACGUCCAGGGCUACACACGUGCUACAAUGGCCGGUACAAAGGGCAGCGACACUGCGAGGUGAAGCCAAUCCCGUAAAAUCGGUCUCAGUCCGGAUUGGAGUCUGCAACUCGACUCCAUGAAGUUGGAAUCGCUAGUAAUCGUGGAUCAGCAUGCCACGGUGAAUACGUUCCCGGGCCUU